rnacentral:tRNA from 1 species
AAUUUAAGAUUCAAAUAUAAAGUUUUUAAUUUACUUUUAUUAAAA